AUUCAAAUAGCAGUAGUGAAGUGAAGAUAUGAAGUAAUAUCAACCAAAAUUAAGAAAAGUCUUUUAAAAGCAGAGAUAAUCACAUGGGACUCUCUUGAACAUGGCAAACAACCAACAAUUUUGCCAGACCCGAAUUUCUUAAACAGAAGUUUCAAUGAGACCGGCUUAUCGUUCUUCCAAGAAAGUAAAGGACUAUGACAAGCUUGAAGCUGAAGUGAAGAAGAAUAGAAUGAUGAUAAGCUUGAAGGAGACGCUGCUUUGAACAAGUUCUUCCGUGAGAUAUAAUUGAAUUCUGAUGAGGAUAUGAGGAGUACUAGAGCAAAUCAUUUUUUUGCACAAUCAACAGGUGGAAUCUAAUGGGAGAGUGCUUUCAAUAGACUGGAAAGAUGUUGGUGCUAAGAAAAUCUAGAGCACUCUUCAUGAUGAUCUGACGCUCAAGACAUGGGAAAUAUGAUCUUAUAUGAUGUGUGGGUUUUACCUUAAUCUAGACAGAACUCGAAGCCUUGGUCUUAAGGUCUGGUUUCUAUACUUUAUGGACUCAAGGUACUUUGUAUUUUCCAUAACUCAUAUUGUUUAUACGAAACACUGAAAUUUUUAAUCUAAACGUUCUAAUGUAUUUUUUGUUAUAUGAAUAUAGUACAAAUAUUAAUAUGUAACAUCGAAUCUUUCAUACUAACCACAUACAUGUAACAUAAGUAUUUUAUAGUUGUAAAUAUGUAAUUAUCAAUUUAAUAUUAAUGUUAAUGCCCGCAUAUGCGUGCGGGCGGUCCCCCUAGUAGAUAUUAUUGAAGAAGUGAUUUUCUACAUACAAUCACUUUCAUAAACAUGACUAUUAAUGACAUCAACAAUUAUAUUUCAUGUUGAUUUAUAUUUAAUAUUGAUUUAUAUAAUUUGCUAUUAAUGACAUGG